rnacentral:rRNA from 1 species
UACAGAGGUCCCAAGCGUUGUUCGGAUUCACUGGGCGUAAAGGGUGCGUAGGUGGCUGGGUAAGUCUGAUGUGAAAGCUCAGAGCUCAACUCUGAAAUGGCAUUGGAUACUAUCCAGCUCGAGGAUCGGAGGGGGGACUGGAAUUCUUGGUGUAGCAGUGAAAUGCGUAGAUAUCAAGAGGAACACCAGUGGCGAAGGCGAGUCCCUGGACGAUACCUGACACUGAGGCACGAAAGCUAGGGGAGCAAACAGG